UGGGGGAUAUUGCACAAUGGGCGAAAGCCUGAUGCAGCGACGCCGCGUGGGGGAUGAAGGCCUUCGGGUUGUAAACUUCUUUUGCUCUGAACAAGGCAUGCCUUUGGGGUGUGUUGAGUGUAGGGGUUGAUUAGCGCCGGCUAACUACGUGCCAGCAGCCGCGGUAAUACGUAGGGCGCGAGCGUUGUCCGGAAUUAUUGGGCGUAAAGGGUGCGCAGGCGGCUUUACAAGUUGGAUGUGAAAUAUUGUGGCUCAACCACAAACGUGCAUCCAAAACUGCAAAGCGUAAGUUAAGGAGAGGUAAGUGGAAUUCCUGGUGUAGCGGUGGAAUGCGUAGAUAUCAGGAGGAAUACCGGUGGCGAAGGCGACUUACUGGACUUAAACUGACGCUCAGGCACGAAAGCGUGGGGAGCAAACAGG
rnacentral:rRNA from 1 species